GGGUACAGACUAGAACAUUUCAACGGACAGAACAUUGUUCGCGAACAUGUUUGCAACCAAUGUGGACGGGAAAACGAACAUUUCCCCGUAACAAAAAAUGUUCGGUUGUUUGUUCGGUUGCGAUCCGAUAUUUGUCGGUUUUUGCCCGUCACAUCAAAGGAUGUUCGCCGUGGCUCGGAUAACAGUCUGGACGUCGCUGCGAACACUUCCUGCGAACAUUCAGUUGUCGACGUGGAGCGGUGUUGUCUUCACGGAGUUAGUAGCGGUGCGUGACUCUUUUGUUAUAUGAGAAUGGAGUGGUCCAAGGAAGAUCAAAUAAAACUGAUAGAUUUGUAUAAACAACAAACAGUGAUAUGGGACCCAAACAAUGUUAAUCAUUUCAACAAAAUUAGAAAACAAGACGCGUGGGAAGAAAUCGGGGCCGAAAUGGACAGAGAUGUGGACGAAUGUAAGAAGAAAAUGGAGAGUUUGCUAUCAGCAUUAGGAAGGGAGAGGAAGAAAAUGAAAGACACUGCUGGAACUGGAAAAGGAACUGACGAAAUGUACAGAAGUUCCUGGUUCGCUUUCGAAAGUCUACGUUUCUUGCUGGACAAAAAUAAACCAAGAAAGACAAUUUAGACGAUGCGAGUAGAAAGCGAAGAGAGAGACGUAGAAUGUGGUGCAGUUGGAGAAUCAGCACAGGAAACUGUACCGAAAAAGAAGAAGCAGCGAGUCGAAGAUGCACGUCUGGACAAAGCCUUUCAUAUAUUGUCGUCCACCGCGAGUCAGCUUAACGAUGAGUGCCAACAUUUUGGAAAUUUGGUCGCAUCUAAGUUGAGACAGUACAACGUUGAUACUAGAUGUACAAUUGAAAAUGACAUUAUGGGUAUUUUCCUUCGCGCUAACAGGGGUUUCUACAAUAACACUCAGAAUUUUAUACAACCACACUAUCCAUGUCAUUUUCCAUCGGACAACUCUGUCAUGCAGUCAAACACUGUAUUGUCCAACCCUACAACCCCGUGUCCUUCAGCAGGAUCACCUACCUUGACGUCUGAUGAUGAUGAUUUCAUUAUUCACGAUCUCUUAUAAAAUAUUUUUGUUUUAAUUACAGUGCUCCUAAUGAUUUGUAACACAGUGUAAACAACUUUGUCAUUUCUUAUAAAUAAAUGUAGAAAAUUACGUUAAUAAAUCUUUCAAUUACACAGUACCGCAGAAUAAGUCAAUACUUACCUUAAUGUAAUCCUCAAGUCCUUCGAUGAGAGCAGAACACACUUCAGGAAUAACUGUGCUGAUAGUCUGUUUUGAAAUUUUAAAUACAUACUGAAGGCUGGUAUACGAAUCACCAGUUGCUAAAAAACGUAAUGUCAAUGCCAGUCUUUCUGUAAUUGGAAUUGCUUUUCUGAACGACGUAUCUCUCUUACCAAUUUUCGCUCCUAUCAAAUUGAUCAACCACUCAAAAUCUGAUGGGUGCAUUCUUGUAAAGUUCUUGUAAAGACCACUGACUGACUGAAAACUUAAGUCUGCCAACAAGUUCGAGCCACUAUAUGUUGUCCUACUUUCAUACAGUUUUGUAAUCCACCAACGGCGAGAUUUCCUUCGCUUUUUAACCGCAUAGUGAAUGUAAAUAUAUACAGCUGCUGCUACUUGCGCCUGUGUACUCAUCGUGCCACUGCUAAGUACGGAAUGGGUCACAGGGAACACACCUCGAACAAUGUUCGCAAACAAUGUUCUUUCGAAAUCUGAACACUGUUCGUAAAAUGUGUCGAACACUGUUCGCUGUUCUGUUCGCUAAAAUGUUCUAGUCUGUACC